AAUCAAACAUAUAUCUUAAAUUAAUCUCAAUGAAGUCCUAAUUUAAUUCUAGUUGAAAUCCUAAUGGACUUCAAUUAAAUCUUAGGCCAAAUCCUAAAUUCUAAACAAAUCUUAAAUCCUAAAUCCUAAGCAAAUCUUAAUCCCUAAAUUCCAAGCAAAUUCUAAAUUCUAAAUCCUAAAUCAAAUCCUAUAUCCUAGUCUAAUCCUAAACCCUAAUCAAAAUUUAACCAAAUCCUAAAAAAACCUUAAAUCCUAAAUUUUAAAUCUUAAAUAAAUUCUAAAUUCUAAAUUAUAAGCAAAUCAUAAAUCCUAAAUCUUAUGUAAAUUUAAAAUCAAAUCCUAAAUCCUAACCAAAUCUUAACCAAAUCCUAAAUCUUAAUCCAAACCUAAUCCUAAAUCUUAGUCUAAUUCUAAAUCCUAAUAAAAUCUUAACCAAAUUCUAAAUUCUAAUCCAAUCCUAAUUCAAUCCUAAUCCUAAAUCAGAUCCUAAUCAAAAUCUAAGCAAUUCAAUCUAAUCUUACUACAAUUUAGAACUUCAAUAUCUAUUGAUUAAAUCAUUGAUCUUGCUUAAAAUUUUAUAUACUUCUCAAUAACUAAGUUAGCAACAAGCAUACAAAUUUUGAAAAUAAUCAUAUUUACGAAAUAGAAGGAAAAUCUUAAAAUCUGCUUGGAUGUUAGUUGGCCUCUUACUCUAAUCUAAAUGUUAAACUUCUAGUGCUAAUAUCUCCCUUUUAAACCAUUAAAUUAUUCUUAAAUUUCACAUAUGUAUAGAAAAUCAAGUCUUUUAUCUUUAUAUAUAAACUUCUUUCCAAUCCAACUAGUAGAUUGUUGAAGAUCUCAAAAAUCCUAACUACCCCUCAAAGUCUAAUUUCUAAGACCUCAACCUAUUUGAAAUUCAAUAACCUUUAAUUCAACUAUUUGAUUAAGCGCAAACUUAUAGAAUGUACUUUAAAUAACUAUUUACAUAA
rnacentral:lncRNA from 1 species